rnacentral:rRNA from 1 species
UACAGAGGGGGCAAGCGUUAUUCGGAAUUAUUGGGCGUAAAGGGUGCGUAGGCGGCGCGGUAAGUCGGGUGUGAAAUCUUGGAGCUUAACUCCGAAACUGCAUUCGAUACUGCCGUGCUUGAGGACUGGAGAGGAGACUGGAAUUUACGGUGUAGCGGUGAAAUGCGUAGAUAUCGUAAGGAAGACCAGUGGCGAAGGCGGGUCUCUGGACAGUUCCUGACGCUGAGGCACGAAGGCCAGGGGAGCAAACGGG